rnacentral:rRNA from 1 species
UAGGGAAUCUUCGGCAAUGGACGAAAGUCUGACCGAGCAACGCCGCGUGAGUGAAGAAGGUUUUCGGAUCGUAAAACUCUGUUGUUAGAGAAGAACAAGGACGUUAGUAACUGAACGUCCCCUGACGGUAUCUAACCAGAAAGCCACGGCUAACUACGUGCCAGCAGCCGCGGUAAUACGUAGGUGGCAAGCGUUGUCCGGAUUUAUUGGGCGUAAAGCGAGCGCAGGCGGUUUCUUAAGUCUGAUGUGAUAGCCCCCGGCUCAACCGGGGAGGGUCAUUGGAAACUGGGAGACUUGAGUGCAGAAGAGGAGAGUGGGAUUCCAUGUGUAGCGGUGAAAUGCGUAGAUAUAUGGAGGAACACCAGUGGCGAAGGCGGCUCUCUGGUCUGUAACUGACGCUGAGGCUCGAAAGCGUGGGGAGCAAACAGG